GACGAACGCUGGCGGCGUGCUUAACACAUGCAAGUCGAGCGGUAAGGCCCUUUCGGGGGUACGACGAGCGGCGAACGGGUGAGUAACACGUGGGUGACCUGCCCUCAGCUCUGGGAUAAGCCUGGGGAAACUGGGUCUAAUACCGGGAUAUGACUCCAUGACGCAUGUUGUGGGGUGGGAAAGCCUUGUGCGGCUGAGGAUGGGCCCGCGGCCUAUCGAGCUUGUUGGUGGGGUGANGGCCUACCAAGGCGACGACGGGUAGCCGGCCUGAGGAGGGCGACCGGCCACACUGGGACUG
rnacentral:rRNA from 1 species